AACGAACGCUGGCGGCAGGCUUAACACAUGCAAGUCGAGCGCCCCGCAAGGGGAGCGGCAGACGGGUGAGUAACGCGUGGGAACAUACCCCUUGGUUCGGAAUAACUCAGGGAAACUUGAGCUAAUACCGGAUACGUCCGUAAGGAGAAAGAUUUAUCGCCAAAGGAUUGGCCCGCGUCCGAUUAGCUAGUUGGUGAGGUAACGGCUCACCAAGGCUACGAUCGGUAGCUGGUCUGAGAGGAUGAUCAGCCACAUUGGGACUGAGACACGGCCCAAACUCCUACGGGAGGCAGCAGUGGGGAAUAUUGGACAAUGGGCGCAAGCCUGAUCCAGCCAUGCCGCGUGAGUGAUGAAGGCCUUAGGGUUGUAAAGCUCUUUUACCCGGGAUGAUAAUGACAGUACCGGGAGAAUAAGCCCCGGCUAACUCCGUGCCAGCAGCCGCGGUAAU
rnacentral:rRNA from 1 species